rnacentral:rRNA from 1 species
UACGUAGGGUGCGAGCGUUGUCCGGAAUUACUGGGCGUAAAGAGCUCGUAGGUGGUUUGUCGCGUUGUUCGUGAAAACUCACAGCUCAACUGUGGGCGUGCGGGCGAUACGGGCAGACUGGAGUACUGCAGGGGAGACUGGAAUUCCUGGUGUAGCGGUGGAAUGCACAGAUAUCAGGAGGAACACCGGUGGCGAAGGCGGGUCUCUGGGCAGUAACUGACGCUGAGGAGCGAAAGCGUGGGGAGCGAACAGG